rnacentral:rRNA from 1 species
CCUACGGGAGGCUGCAGUAGGGAAUCUUCCACAAUGGGCGAAAGCCUGAUGGAGCAACGCCGCGUGGGUGAAGAAGGUCUUCGGAUCGUAAAACUCUGUUGUUAGAGAAGAAAGUGCGUGAGAGUAACUGUUCACGUUUCGACGGUAUCUAACCAGAAAGCCACGGCUAACUACGUGCCAGCAGCCGCGGUAAUACGUAGGUGGCAAGCGUUAUCCGGAUUUAUUGGGCGUAAAGGGAACGCAGGCGGUCUUUUAAGUCUGAUGUGAAAGCCUUCGGCUUAACCGGAGUAGUGCAUUGGAAACUGGGAGACUUGAGUGCAGAAGAGGAGAGUGGAACUCCAUGUGUAGCGGUGAAAUGCGUAGAUAUAUGGAAGAACACCAGUGGCGAAGGCGGCUCUCUGGUCUGUAACUGACGCUGAGGUUCGAAAGCGUGGGUAGCAAACAGGAUUAGAUACCCUAGUAGUC